AUAAAAUCUCAAUUCUGGGAGAGAUCUUACACCACAACCUUACUCAUCAGACUUAGUUCAUUAUAAGCAUUAGAGCUGGGGGAAGCUGGGUGGCUCAGUGAUUGAGAACAGAUCUACAACAACAGCCAACAGAACACCUUCUGGGAUGUUUCGCCUGCUGAUAACAAGUCAUCACAGGUCCUCUGCCGUAGCCUGCUCACAGCCACCAUGCCCCUUGCCAGAGCCCACACCUGCCACUGGAAUUCGACUGAGAUAAGGAUGCUCCAUGAUCCCCAGCCAUAUGGCAUUGCUGGGAGAAUAGUGAAGUUGACAAUGGACUUCUGAGGCAACAACCAGCUUGGAAUCAUUGAAAGUUCUGCACAGUUUCCUGGAUAUGUUCUCCCUUGAUCUCUGCCUCCUAUUCAAUUAUCAGCCCAGCUCUCCAUCUAUUCACAGUACAAGGCCAGUGAAUAGGAAGUGAUGCCCUGAUGGAGCAGGCUAUUCACACAGAAGUCAUUUCGACAUGACAGAGUGCUUCUCCCCAGAAAGUCCAGCCGCUUAACUGGGAUUGUGCAAGCUUCCGCAGGCACUCAGGCACACAAGAAAACAGGUGAUCCUUGGCAAGUCACUUUGACCUCUUUGUACUGAGAAUCCCUUGCUGGAAAAAUAACAAGGAAUGUGGAAAGAGCUUUUGGCGAAAUAGAAAAUAUAUACAUAUAUAUUUCUGUUUAAUUUUUUUUUCUAAUGAGAAGCUAGAGGAAGAAACAGACUUCCCAUGAAAUAACAGUCUAUAUUUACAAGCAAAAACUCCCAUUAUUUGUAAUGAGGAUAACCUUACCAAUAAAACCCAGGGUGACAUGGGGAUGUCCAUUGUCACUGAUUCUCCUAAACAAAGUCCUAGAAAUGCCGGCUAAUGUGACAAGGAAACUGGGAGAAUAAAAAUUGAAGUUAU